AUCCUUUUGUAGUUCAUAAGCACGAUGACUGGGUGGGUGUUCAUGGUCUUGUAUGAAAUGUGCCUCCCACAAACCUUGUUAUGCCUUUGGCACAUCACCCGUCUGACA